CCUCCAUAGACCCUCCAUAGACCCUCCAUAGACCCUCCAUAGACCCUCCAUAGACCCUCCAUAUACCCUCCAUAGAUCCUCCAUAGACCCUCCAUAGACCCUCCAUACAUCCUCCAUACAUACUACUGUGACACAGACUGACCAGGUGAAUCCAGGUGAAAGAUACGAUCCCUUUCUGAUGUCUCUUGUUAAAUCCACUUCAGUCAGUCUUAGGUGAAGGGGAGGAGUCAUGUUAAAUCCACUUCAGUCAGUCUUAGGUGAAGGGGAGGAGUCAUGUUAAAUCCACUUCAGUCAGUCUUAGGUGAAGGGGAGGAGUCAUGUUAAAUCCACUUCAGUCAGUCUUAGGUGAAGGGGAGGAGACAUGUUAAUGAUGGAUUUUUAAGCCUUGAGACAAUUGAGACAUGGAUUGUGUAUGUGUGCCAUUCAGAGGGUGAAUGGGCAAGACAAAAGAUUGAAGUGCCUUUGAACGGGGUAUGGUAGUAGGUGCCAGGCGCACCAGUUUGAGUGUGUCAAGAACUGCAACAAUGCUGGGUUUUUCACUCUCAACAGUUUCCCUGUGUGUAUCAAGUAUGGUCCACCACCCAAAGGACAUCCAGCCAAACAUGACACAACUGUGGGAAGCAUUGGAGUCGACAUGUGCCAGCAUCCCUGUGGAACACUUUUAACACCUUGUAGAGUCCCUGUGGAAGGCUUUUAACA
ensembl:lncRNA